UUUUAUAAAGCACAAUCAGCAUGAUUAAUUAGUUACUAUAUAUAUAUAUAGUAAAAUAAAUAUAAAUAAAAAAAAAAAAAAAACUGUACAUUUAAUAGUGAACUAACAUUGUGAUCUUAAAAGAUUUAAAGUCACUUCUUCUUGACAAUUGACAUGGAGGAGAGACACAUUCUACUCAUGAUCCUCAUCAGAGUUUCAGGUGGAUUUGCUGAUAAAAUUGGUCCAACAGGGGAUACUAAUCUAAUCAGGAGCGAAGGAGAGUCUGUGACACUGAGUUGCUCAUAUGAUACAAGCAGCAAUUAUGUUUAUCUUUACUGGUUCAGACAGUAUCAUAACAGAGAACCUCAGUAUUUAUUGUUUAAAGCAGCUCGAUCAUACAGCACUGAGGAUAUACCAGAUGGGUUUAAGUCAACUACAUCCCAAUCAUCCACUGAACUCACUAUUGUAAAAGCAGCUCUGUCAGAUUCAGCUCUCUAUUACUGUGCACUUAGGGUUGGAGCCCAGUGA